rnacentral:rRNA from 1 species
GGCACUACGGUGCUGAAGCAACAAAUGCCCUGCUUCCAGGAAAAGCCUCUAAGCAUCAGGUAACAUCAAAUCGUACCCCAAACCGACACAGGUGGUCAGGUAGAGAAUACCAAGGCGCUUGAGAGAACUCGGGUGAAGGAACUAGGCAAAAUGGUGCCGUAACUUCGGGAGAAGGCACGCUGAUAUGUAGGUGAAGUCCCUCGCGGAUGGAGCUGAAAUCAGUCGAAGAUACCAGCUGGCUGCAACUGUUUAUUAAAAACACAGCACUGUGCAAACACGAAAGUGGACGUAUACGGUGUGACGCCUGCCCGGUGCCGGAAGGUUAAUUGAUGGGGUCAGCGCAAGCGAAGCUCUUGAUCGAAGCCCCGGUAAACGGCGGCCGUAACUAUAACGGUCCUAAGGUAGCGAAAUUCCUUGUCGGGUAAGUUCCGACCUGCACGAAUGGCGUAAUGAUGGCCAGGCUGUCUCCACCCGAGACUCAGUGAAAUUGAACUCGCUGUGAAGAUGCAGUGUACCCGCGGCAAGACGGAAAGACCCCGUGAACCUUUACUAUAGCUUGACACUGAACAUUGAGCCUUGAUGUGUAGGAUAGGUGGGAGGCUUUGAAGUGUGGACGCCAGUCUGCAUGGAGCCGACCUUGAAAUACCACCCUUUAAUGUUUGAUGUUCUAACGUUGACCCGUAAUCCGGGUUGCGGACAGUGUCUGGUGGGUAGUUUGACUGGGGCGGUCUCCUCCUAAAGAGUAACGGAGGAGCACGAAGGUUGGCUAAUCCUGGUCGGACAUCAGGAGGUUAGUGCAAUGGCAUAAGCCAGCUUGACUGCGAGCGUGACGGCGCGAGCAGGUGCGAAAGCAGGUCAUAGUGAUCCGGUGGUUCUGAAUGGAAGGGCCAUCGCUCAACGGAUAAAAGGUACUCCGGGGAUAACAGGCUGAUACCGCCCAAGAGUUCAUAUCGACGGCGGUGUUUGGCACCUCGAUGUCGGCUCAUCACAUCCUGGGGCUGAAGUAGGUCCCAAGGGUAUGGCUGUUCGCCAUUUAAAGUGGUACGCGAGCUGGGUUUAGAACGUCGUGAGACAGUUCGGUCCCUAUCUGCCGUGGGCGCUGGAGAACUGAGGGGGGCUGCUCCUAGUACGAGAGGACCGGAGUGGACGCAUCACUGGUGUUCGGGUUGUCAUGCCAAUGGCACUGCCCGGUAGCUAAAUGCGGAAGAGAUAAGUGCUGAAAGCAUCUAAGCACGAAACUUGCC